rnacentral:rRNA from 1 species
UACGGAGGAUCCGAGCGUUAUCCGGAUUUAUUGGGUUUAAAGGGAGCGUAGGCGGGUUGUUAAGUCAGUUGUGAAAGUUUGCGGCUCAACCGUAAAAUUGCAGUUGAUACUGGCAUCCUUGAGUACAGUAGAGGUAGGCGGAAUUCGUGGUGUAGCGGUGAAAUGCUUAGAUAUCACGAAGAACUCCGAUUGCGAAGGCAGCCUGCUGGACUGUAACUGACGCUGAUGCUCGAAAGUGUGGGUAUCAAUCAGG